GCAAGUCGAGCGGAAACGGAGAUAGCUUGCUAUCAGACGUCGAGCGGCGGACGGGUGAGUAAUGCCUAGAUAUCUGCCUAGUCGUGGGGGAUAACAGUUGGAAACGACUGCUAAUACCGCAUACGCCCUACGGGGGAAAGGAGGGGACCUACGGGCCUAUUGCGUCAGGAUAUGCCUAGGUGGGAUUAGCUAGUUGGUGAGGUAAUGGCUCACCAAGGCGACGAUACCUAGCUGGUCUGAGAGGAUGAUC
rnacentral:rRNA from 1 species